rnacentral:misc_RNA from 1 species
GAUGAAGAACGUAGCGAAAUGCGAUAAGUAGUGUGAAUUGCAGAAUUCAGUGAAUCAUCGAAUCUUUGAACGCACAUUGCGCCCCUUGGUAUUCCAUGGGGCAUGCCUGUUCGAGCGUCAUUUGUACCUUCAAGCUUUGCUUGGUGUUGGGUGACUGUCCGCCGCCUCCGGGCGGUCGGACUCGCCUCAAAUUGAUUGGCGGCCGGUACUUUGGCUUCGAGCGCAGCAGAAACGCGAACUCGAGGCCGUCGUCCUGGCUCCCAGAAGCUAUCUUCACAAUUUUGACCUCGGAUCAGGUAGGGAUACCCGCUGAACUUAAGCAUAUCAAUAAGCGGAGGA